UCUAGCCGACAGCUAGCUCUCUGCAAUCUCACAUGGUCGCCCACUGAAGCUAAGCAGGGCUGUGCCUGGUCAGUACCUGGAUGGGAGACCACAUGGGAAAGCUAGUUUGUAGCUAAAA
rnacentral:rRNA from 1 species